rnacentral:rRNA from 1 species
UACGUAGGGGGGCAAGCGUUUGUCCGGAUUUAUUGGGCGUAAAGAGCGUGUAGGCGGUCUGGUAGGUCCGUUGUGAAAACUCGAGCUCAACCUCGAGACGCCGAUGGAAACCCUCAGACUAGAGUCCGGAAGAGGAGAGUGGAAUUCCCGGUGUAGUGGUGAAAUGCGUAGAUAUCGGGAGGAACACCAGUGGCGAAGGCGACUACCUGGCCUGUUCUUGACGCUGAGGCGCGAAAGCUAGGGGAGCAAACGGG